rnacentral:rRNA from 1 species
GACGUAGGGCGCGAGCGUUGUUCGGAUUCAUUGGGCGUAAAGGGUGCGUAGGCGGCGCGGUAAGUCGGGUGUGAAAUCUCGGAGCUUAACUCCGAAACUGCAUUCGAUACUGCCGUGCUUGAGGACUGGAGAGGAGACUGGAAUUUACGGUGUAGCGGUGAAAUGCGUAGAUAUCGUAAGGAAGACCAGUGGCGAAGGCGGGUCUCUGGACAGUUCCUGACGCUGAGGCACGAAGGCCAGGGGAGCAAACGGG